rnacentral:misc_RNA from 1 species
UGCAGUUUGAAGAGGCAGAGAGU